rnacentral:tRNA from 1 species
GCGCGAGUGGCUCAGUGGUAGAGCAUCGCCUUGCCAUGGCGAGGACCGCGGGUUCGAAUCCCGUCUCGCGCU